rnacentral:misc_RNA from 1 species
AGAUGAAGAACGCAGCGAAAUGCGAUACUUGGUGUGAAUUGCAGAAUCCCGUGAACCAUCGAGUCUUUGAACGCAAGUUGCGCCUCAAGCCAUUAGGUUGAGGGCACGUCUGCCUGGGCGUCACAUAUCGUUGCCUGAUGCCAGUUUCCUCGUGAUGGGUGACUGUGCAGGGCGAAUGAUGGCUUCCCGUGAGCAUUGUUGCCUCAUGGUUGGUUGAAAAUUGAGUCCUUGGUAGGGAGAGCCGUGAUAGAUGGUGGUUGAGUGACGAACGAGACCCAAUCAUGUGAGACCCCUACCGAAUUUGGCCUUCAUGACCCACAUGCGUCUUUGGAACGCUCAUGACGAGACCUCAGGUCAGGCGGGGCUACCCGCUGAGUUUAAGCAUAUCAAUAAGCGGGGA